rnacentral:tRNA from 1 species
UGGUGCAAAUGGUUAACGCAUUCAGCUGCUAACUGAAAGUUUGGUGGUUUGAGUCCACC